CUUUGCCUGCUGUGCCUGAGUCGAAGUGAGUUCGGGAAGCCAGUGCCCGAAUGCUCAACCUUGCUGUAUCAGGGAGGGCCGGAGAGGGGAGCUCAAGAAGAGGACGUCCUAUCGAGGUGGCAGGGAUUUUCUGAAGGAGGGCGUAUUUUGGAAACUGACAGAAUGAGCUUCCAAGGCCCAGGAGACAAUGGAAUCUCACUCUGUCACCCAGACUGGAGUGCAGUGGCCCGAUCUCAGCUCACUGCAGCCUCCGCUUCCCAGGUUCAAGCGAUUCUCCUGCCUCAGCCUUCCAGGCAGCUGGGAUUACAGAUUAGUAAUUUUCCCAAGACCCUCCAAACAGAACCAAAACUCCUCAAAAGCGAAGCCAAGCACAGCUGUGGACCUUGUGGUAUACCCCAAGAUGCUCAGCCCAGAGCCCCCAACCCCUGCUCAGCUGUGUGACCUGGCCUGAAUCUCUCUGGGCCCCAUCUGUCCAAUCUGCAUCUGCCAACUUGCCACAGUCCCUGGACAACCUCUCACCCAAUCCUUCCCAGUCAGCCUUGCUAUUCCCUCCGGGCUCCAUACCUGUUUCCUGUACCUCCCGCCUGUAUUUCCUGUAUCCUGCCCCACAUUACAGCACUGAAACCCUCA
rnacentral:lncRNA from 1 species